rnacentral:rRNA from 1 species
CCAACAGGGGAUUGCCCUAGUAACGGCGAGUGAAGCGGCAACAGCUCAAAUUUGAAAUCUGGCUCUUUUAGAGUCCGAGUUGUAAUUUGCAGAGGGCGCUUUGGCUUUGGCAGCGGUCCAAGUUCCUUGGAACAGGACGUCACAGAGGGUGAGAAUCCCGUACGUGGUCGCUGGCUAUUGCCGUGUAAAGCCCCUUCGACGAGUCGAGUUGUUUGGGAAUGCAGCUCUAAAUGGGAGGUACAUUUCUUCUAAAGCUAAAUAUUGGCCAGAGACCGAUAGCGCACAAGUAGAGUGAUCGAAAGAUGAAAAGCACUUUGGAAAGAGAGUCAAACAGCACGUGAAAUUGUUGAAAGGGAAGCGCUUGCAGCCAGACUUGCUUACAGUUGCUCAUCCGGGUUUCUACCCGGUGCACUCUUCUGUAGGCAGGCCAGCAUCAGUUUGGGCGGUAGGAUAAAGGUCUCUGUCACGUACCUCCUUUCGGGGAGGCCUUAUAGGGGAGACGACAUACUACCAGCCUGGACUGAGGUCCGCGCAUCUGCUAGGAUGCUGGCGUAAUGGCUGUAAGCGGCCCGUCUUGAAACACGGACCAAGGAGUCUAACAUCUAUGCGAGUGUUUGGGUGUCAAGCCCGAGCGCGUAAUGAAAGUGAACGGAGGUGGGAACCCGCAAGGGUGCACCAUCGACCGAUCCUGAUGUCUUCGGAAGGAUUUGAGUAAGAGCAUGGCUGUUGGGACCCGAAAGAUGGUGAACUAUGCUUGAAUAGGGUGAAGCCAGAGGAAACUCUGGUGGAGGCUCGCAGCGGUUCUGACGUGC